GGUCCGAUGGUGUAGUUGGUUAUCACUUCUGUCUAACAAUCGCCCUUUAUCUGCUAUGGCCGGUAAAAAGAUUUGCAUUGUUCACAGGCGGUCCUCAGUUCGAACCUGGGUCGGAUCA